rnacentral:rRNA from 1 species
AUGGCCUGCCAUCAAAGAUCUGCGAGUCUGCCUUCCAUCCCCCACUCCACCGAAUCCAAAGUGGAGGUGGAGCUGCAGGGCCUGCAGACACGCAUCUCCAUGCCUUCCGCGACCAUCGACACGAUGUGCGGCGGUCUGAGCAGGCUCGGAGACAUCUACAGCUCCAUAGAAGAGAUCAUGAGCCUGCCCAGCAACCAAAUCGGCCUCUCCCUGCCCCUGCAGAGGAAGAUGGUCGAGGAAGAGCUUGACAGAUCACUUGUCCUGGUGGAUCUUUGCAAUGCCAUGCAGGAGAGCCUGGCAGAGCUGAAGAUGAGCAUCCAGGACUUGCGGCUCGCCCUCAAGAGGGGAGAUGGCGUGGCUGUUCAGCUCAAGAUCGAGUCUUUUGUUCGCCUGGCGAAGAAGGCGCAGAAGCCUUUCAAGAAGAUCACAAGCGGCAAGGCUACCGCCGAAGGCUGCGGGGCGGUCAGGCUAUUGGCAGAAGCAAGAGACAUGGCGGUCUCUCUGCUUGAAUCCGCGCCGCGCCUCCUGCUGAAGCAAAUUGGGGUUGCCAAUGGAAGCAGAUGGUCUCUGGUCUCACAGAAGUUCCAGAAGAAGAGGGUUGUCUGCGAGGCGGCGCAGCUGCAAGCGCUGGAGCGCAGUGUAGCGGAUCUCGAGAACGGUGUUGAGUCCCUGUUCAGGAGGUUGAUUCCGAGCAGGGUUUCACUCCUGAACAUCCUUAGCUCCUAG